rnacentral:lncRNA from 1 species
UCAAACUGCAGGUCUAAGCGUCUUCGCUGCUCAUGGCCCCACCAAUCAGUCCGUCCGUGGUUCCUCCUUCUCCUCCUGCAAUGGUGUCGAAUCUUGUCGAUAGCAUAGUAGAUGGUCAAUUUUUUUCCACCAAGAAAAUGAGUAUUCUUCUUGAUGAUUCUAAUUACCUUUUAUGGCGUCAACAGUUUAUGUUAGCUGUUAAAACCUAUCAACUUCAACGUUUUCUUGAUCUGUACACGGUUCCGCCGCCUCGGAUAAUUCCUAGUGAAGAUGGUGACCUUCAAGAAAUGUUGCGUUCUCAAGGUUCGAACAACAAGACAGUGCGAUUGCUUCUUGACUCCUGUCUUCAGUCAGCCAGGCUGUGC